GGGAAGUAUUUUUUCCGCCCCGCCCGGAAAGGGUGGAGCACAACGUCGAAAGCAGCCGUUGGGAGCCCAGGAGGCGGGGCGCCUGUGGGAGCCGUGGAGGGAACUUUCCCAGUCCCCGAGGCGGAUCCGGUGUUGCAUCCUUGGAGCGAGCUGAGAGCUCGAGUACAGAACCUGCUAAGGCCAUCAAACCUAUUGAUCGGAAGUCAGUCCAUCAGAUUUGCUCUGGGCCGGUGGUACCGAGUCUAAGCACUGCGGUGAAGGAGUUAGUAGAAAACAGUCUGGAUGCUGGUGCCACUAAUAUUGAUCUAAAGCUUAAGGACUAUGGAGUGGAUCUCAUUGAAGUUUCAGGCAAUGGAUGUGGGGUAGAAGAAGAAAACUUCGAAGGCUUAACUCUGAAACAUCACACAUCUAAGAUUCAAGAGUUUGCCGACCUACCUCAGGUUGAAACUUUUGGCUUUCGGGGGGAAGCUCUGAGCUCACUUUGUGCACUGAGAAACGUGCCUGCUUCCCCUUCGCCUUCUGCCGUGAUUGUCAGUUUCCUGAGGCCUCCCCAGCCAUGCUUCCUGUACAGCCUGCAGAACUGUGAGUCAAUUAAACCUGUUUUCUUCAUAAA
rnacentral:lncRNA from 1 species